GGAACUUCUUCGGAAGUGGAACUAGCGGCGGACGGGUGAGUAACACGUGGGCAACCUGCCUCGUAGAGGGGAAUAGCCUUCCGAAAGGAAGAUUAAUACCGCAUAAGAUUGUAGCUUCGCAUGAAGCAGCAAUUAAAGGAGAAAUCCGCUACGAGAUGGGCCCGCGUCGCAUUAGCUAGUUGGUAAGGUAAUGGCUUACCAAGGCGACGAUGCGUAGCCGACCUGAGAGGGUGAUCGGCCACAUUGGGACUGAGACACGGCCCAGACUCCUACGGGAGGCAGCAGUGGGGAAUAUUGCACAAUGGGGGAAACCCUGAUGCAGCAACGCCGCGUGAGUGAUGACGGUCUUCGGAUUGUAAAGCUCUGUCUUCAGGGACGAUAAUGACGGUACCUGAGGAGGAAGCCACGGCUAACUACGUGCCAGCAGCCGCGGUAAUACGUAGGUGGCGAGCGUUGUCCGGAUUUACUGGGCGUAAAGGGAGCGUAGGCGGAUUCUUAAGUGGGAUGUGAAAUACUCGGGCUUAACCUGGGUGCUGCAUUUCAAACUGGGAAUCUAGAGUGCAGGAGAGGAAAGUGGAAUUCCUAGUGUAGCGGUGAAAUGCGUAGAGAUUAGGAAGAACACCAGUGGCGAAGGCGACUUUCUGGACUGUAACUGACGCUGAGGCUCGAAAGCGUGGGGAGCGAACAGGAUUAGAUACCCUGGUAGUCCACGCCGUAAAACGAUGAAUACUAGGUGUAGGGGUUGUCAUGACCUCUGUGCCGCCGCUAACGCAUUAAGUAUUCCGCCUGGGGGAGUACGGU
rnacentral:rRNA from 1 species